rnacentral:rRNA from 1 species
AACGUAGGUGGCGAGCGUUAUCCGGAUUUACUGGGCGUAAAGGGUGUGCAGGCGGGCUGUUAAGUGGUGUAUGAAAUAUCCCGGCUCAACCGGGAGGGUGCACUUUAGACUGAUGAGCUUGAGGUCGGUAGAGGGGGGUGGAAUUGCUGGUGUAGCGGUGAAAUUCGUAGAGAUCAGCAGGAACACCCGUGGCGAAGGCGGCCCCCUGGGCCGUACCUGACGCUGAGGCGCGAAGGCUAGGGGAGCGAACGGG